CAGUAGCCACGGGAAUACGAAGGGGGCUAGCGUUGCUCGGAAUGACUGGGCGUAAAGGGCGCGUAGGCGGAUUGUUUAGUUAGGCGUGAAAUUCCUGGGCUUAACCUGGGGACUGCGCUUAAUACAGGCAGUCUAGAGUGAGGAAGAGGGUUGUGGAAUUCCCAGUGUAGAGGUGAAAUUCGUAGAUAUUGGGAAGAACACCGGUGGCGAAGGCGGCAACCUGGUCCUUGACUGACGCUGAGCCGCGAAAGCGUGGGGAGCAAACAGGAUUAGAUACCCCGGUAGUCCUGUCUCUUAUACC
rnacentral:rRNA from 1 species